UACGGGGGGAGCAAGCGUUGUUCGGAUUUACUGGGCGUAAAGGGCGCGUAGGCGGCCACUGCAAGUCGGUUGUGAAAUCUCCGGGCUUAACCCGGAAAGGUCAAUCGAUACUGCAGGGCUAGAGUGCAGAAGGGGCAACUGGAAUUCUUGGUGUAGCGGUGAAAUGCGUAGAUAUCGAGAGGAACACCUGCGGCGAAGGCGGGUCUCUGGGCCACUACUGACGCUGAGAAGCGAAAGCAUGGGGAGCGAACAGG
rnacentral:rRNA from 1 species